rnacentral:rRNA from 1 species
CCCUUAGAUGUUCUGGGCCGCACGCGCGCUACAAUGAUGAAUUCAACGAGUUUAUAACCUUGGUUGAAAAGCCUGGGUAAUCUUUUGAACUUUCGUCGUGAUGGGGCUAGACCCUUGCAAUUAUUGGUCUCCAACGAGGAAUUCCUAGUAAACGCAAGUCAUCAGCUUGCAUUGAUUACGUCCCUGCCCUUUGUACACACCGCCUGUCGCACCUACCGAUUGAAUGGUCCGGUGAAAUCUUCGGAUUGAGACUUUGAUUUCUUCACGGAAAACGCUGUUUUAAAAAGUUGAUUAAACCUUACCAUUUAGAGGAAGGUGAAGUCGUAACA